rnacentral:rRNA from 1 species
UCAGGAUGAGCGCUAGCUACAGGCUUAACACAUGCAAGUCGAGGGGCAGCAUGGGAGUUGCUUGCAAUUCCUGAUGGCGACCGGCGCACGGGUGAGUAACGCGUAUCCAACCUUCCUGCCAGUAGGGAACAGCCCGGCGAAAGUCGGAUUAAUGCCCUAUGUUCUUCAAUGCGGACAUCUAAGUUGAAGGAAAGAUUCAUCGCUGGCAGAUGGGGAUGCGUCCGAUUAGCUUGCCGGCGGGUAACGGCCCACCGGGGCGACGAUCGGUAGGGGUUCUGAGAGGAAGGUCCCCCACACUGGUACUGAGACACGGACCAGACUCCUACGGGAGGCAGCAGUGAGGAAUAUUGGUCAAUGGGCGUAAGCCUGAACCAGCCAAGUAGCGUGCAGGAUGACGGCCCUACGGGUUGUAAACUGCUUUUAUGCGGGGAUAAAGUGCGGCACGUGUGCCGCUUUGCAGGUACCGCAUGAAUAAGGACCGGCUAAUUCCGUGCCAGCAGCUGC